UCAUCCAUUUGCCAAAGUAGCUGA
rnacentral:piRNA from 1 species